CAUAUGAGUUGAGAAGUACGAAUUAUUCACGAUUCUGUGUUUAGUUAAAGUCGUAAAUAAUUUGCAUAUAAUCAUCAAAGUGGAUAAUAUUAACAAAUACAAGAAUCUUCUCACCUGCUACUAUAAAUCGAAAAAAAAAGUGAAAUCGGCCCUUCCCUCACCCCGCCGGUUAGUUUGCGAGCGUUACCGAGCACAGCCUAGUGACAUGGAGAAGCGUGGGAAUUUUGAACAUGUGCACUCUGCACUGGUGGAGUGCACGAUCACGCUCGUCUACACCUCACUAUAAUUUUAGUUGGAGGUAAAGAAGAGAGAGAAAGAAAAAAAUUUCCUCUUAAUCUACGCGAGUAUAGAAAACAUGGGAAUUGCCAACAUGCAACAACGUGAUUGUCCAUCACUGGAUGCGUCUGUGGUGCCGCUGUCGGACGAAUCUAACGAAAAGAUAAAUGUUAAGGGAAAAGAAAAUUGGGUAUCGAUAUAACUUUUCCCAUCGGCGAUUUAUA